CGCGUGGGGGAGGGGUUCUUGGAUUGUAAACCCCUUUUCUCAGGGAAGAAAAAAAUGACGGUACCUGAGGAAUCAGCAUCGGCUAACUCCGUGCCAGCAGCCGCGGUAAUACGGAGGAUGCAAGCGUUAUCCGGAAUAAUUGGGCGUAAAGCGUCCGUAGGUGGCUGUUCAAGUCUGCCGUUAAAGACCGGGGCUUAACCCUGGAAAGGCGGUGGAAACUGAACGGCUAGAGUGCAGUAGGGGUAGAGGGAAUUCCCAGUGUAGCGGUGAAAUGCGUAGAGAUUGGGAAGAACACCGGUGGCGAAAGCGCUCUGCUGGACUGCAACUGACACUGAGGGACGAAAGCUAGGGGAGCGAAUGGGAUUAGAUCCUCUCA
rnacentral:rRNA from 2 species